UACGAAGGGGGCUAGCGUUGCUCGGAAUCACUGGGCUUAAAGCGCGUGUAGGCGGGACGGCACGUCGGUCGCUGAAAUCCCCCGGCUUAACCGGGGAACUGGCGUCGAUACGACCGUCCUGGAGGGGCGUAGGGGGACCUGGAACUUCCGGUGGAGCGGUGAAAUGCGUUGAGAUCGGAAGGAACGCCCGUGGCGAAAGCGAGGUCCUGGACGCCUACUGACGCUGAGACGCGAAAGCCAGGGAGCGAACGGG
rnacentral:rRNA from 1 species